rnacentral:rRNA from 1 species
UACGGAGGGUGCGAGCGUUGUCCGGAAUCACUGGGCGUAAAGGGCGCGUAGGUGGCGCGGGAAGUCAACGGUGAAAGUUCGGGGCUCAACCCUGAAUCGGCCGUCGAUACUCCCGGGCUCGAGCACUGUAGAGGCAGAUGGAAUUCCGGGUGUAGCGGUGGAAUGCGUAGAGAUCCGGAAGAACACCGGUGGCGAAGGCGGUGAGCUGGGCAGUUGCUGACACUGAGGCGCGACAGCGUGGGGAGCAAACAGG